AGCUACAUGUGUCCAGAGGCUGCUGUAUGGAACCGCAUCGUUUUGGACAAAAAGAGGCCUAACAAGCAACUUUUCUUCCAGCUCCACUGGGGAAGCCUUAUACAGGUGGAAGAAUUCAGCUCUUAGUGGUUUGGAUCCAUAAACGGACAUGUGGCUAUGGCCUCCCUAAGCAUCAAU